rnacentral:misc_RNA from 1 species
GUUGAACGUAUCAAUCGUCGGUCGUCCGAACAAUGCCGACGCAUUGGAUCGUCGAGGCGCGGGUGAACGAUACCCGCAAGGGGGUUCGAGCGGCGGGCGCUUCGCGGCGUCCGUCGUCUCGAGCUGCUCGCGCCUCGUCGUCCGAAGACCAGAAGGGACCGCGCGACCACGCCGGCCGCACGUCCGAAGUCCGCUGGCGGACGGGGACGGCGACUCGGAGGACAGAGAGACCGAUCGGCCGUCGCCCGCCGUGGCGGCUCGGUCGGCGUGGAAGCGAAGGACCCAGCGCACACGAAGCUCUAUCGGCGGGCUGCCGCACACGGCCGGCGGCCCCCGCAGACUU